GUGUGCUUGUUCCAUAAACCGCUCAAGGUAUUGUUCACAGGAGAUCAUUUAGCAAUGACGGAGAAUGGCAUGAGUAUAUUCGAGCAGUAUAAUCAUGGCUCAUUUCCCCUCCAGCUUGAGAAUGUCCGGAGCUUGAUCGACCUAGAUUUCCAAUGGAUUUUACCGGGGCAUGGGAGGAGAGUACAUUUCAAAGAUAGAGAAGAGAAAUCGAAGAAUCUCGAAGCACUUGUUCAGAAACACUUGCAAAAAACAUCUUGAAUCUUGACAAAGAUCUUGUAAACUUGACAAAGCUGGUUCUGCUUUUGUAACAGUUAAGGUUUUUCCUUGAACUUGGCAUGGAUAUGUCUGCUUGUACUGUUUCAGUGUACUUGUAAGAACAUUAGAGGAGUCUCCUUGUGAAAG